rnacentral:rRNA from 1 species
UUUGCCUACGGGACGCAGCAGUGGGGAAUAUUGCACCAUGGGGGAAACCCUGAUGCAGCGACGCCGCGUGAGUGAAGAAGUAAUUCGUUAUGUAAAGCUCUCUCAGCAGGGAAGAAAAUGACGGUACCUGAGUAAGAAGCCCCGGCUAACUACGUGCCAGCAGCCGCGGUAAUACGUAGGGGGCAAGCGUUAUCCGGAUUUACUGGGUGUAAAGGGAGCGUAGACGGCAGUGCAAGUCUGGAGUGAAAGGCGGGGGCUCAACCCAC